rnacentral:rRNA from 1 species
GAUGAACGCUGGCGGCGUGCCUAAUACAUGCAAGUCGAGCGACCAGACGAGGAGCUUGCUCCUCUGACGUUAGCGCCUGACGGUUUAGUAUCCCGUGGAUAACCUCCCUAUAAGACUGGGAUAACUUCGGUAAACCGGCGCUAAUACCGGAUUUUAUAUUGAACCGCAUGGUUCAAUAUUGAAAGACUGUUUUGCUGUCACUUAUAGAUGGAUCCGCGCCGCAUUAGCUAGUUGGUAAGGUAACGUCUUACCAAGGCAACGUUGCGUAGCCGACCUGAGAGGGUGAUAGGCAAAGCUGGAACUGAGACACGGUCCAGAAUACUACGGGAGGCAGCAGUAGGGAAUCUUUAGCAAAGGGAGAAAGCGUGAAGGAGAAACGCAGCGUGAGUGAUGAAGGUAUUCGGAUCGUAAAACUCAGUUAGUAGGGAAGAACAAAUGUGUAAGUAACUAGGCAAGUCUUGAAGGUAACUAAUCAGAAAGCCACGGCUAACUACGGG